GUGGACGCCAGUCUGCAUGGAGCCGACCUUGAAAUACCACCCUUUAAUGUUUGAUGUUCUAACGUGGACCCGUAAUCCGGGUUGCGGACAGUGUCUGGUGGGUAGUUUGACUGGGGCGGUCUCCUCCUAAAGAGUAACGGAGGAGCACGAAGGUUGGCUAAUCCUGGUCGGACAUCAGGAGGUUAGUGCAAUGGCAUAAGCCAGCUUGACUGCGAGCGUGACGGCGCGAGCAGGUGCGAAAGCAGGUCAUAGUGAUCCGGUGGUUCUGAAUGGAAGGGCCAUCGCUCAACGGAUAAAAGGUACUCCGGGGAUAACAGGCUGAUACCGCCCAAGAGUUCAUAUCGACGGCGGUGUUUGGCACCUCGAUGUCGGCUCAUCACAUCCUGGGGCUGAAGUAGGUCCCAAGGGUAUGGCUGUUCGCCAUUUAAAGUGGUACGCGAGCUGGGUUUAGAACGUCGUGAGACAGUUCGGUCCCUAUCUGCCGUGGGCGCUGGAGAACUGAGGGGGGCUGCUCCUAGUACGAGAGGACCGGAGUGGACGCAUCACUGGUGUUCGGGUUGUCAUGCCAAUGGCACUGCCCGGUAGCUAAAUGCGGAAGAGAUAAGUGCUGAAAGCAUCUAAGCACGAAACUUGCCCCGAGAUGAGUUCUCCCUGAGACUUAGAGUCUCCUGAAGGAACGUUGAAGACGACGACGUUGAUAGGCCGGGUGUGUAAGCGCAGCGAUGCGUUGAGCUAACCGGUACUAAUG
rnacentral:rRNA from 2 species